CCUACGGGAGGCAUCAGUGGGGAAUAUUGGACAAUGGGGGGAACCCUGAUCCAGCCAUGCCGCGUGUGUGAAGAAGGCCCUCGGGUUGUAAAGCACUUUCAGUGAGGAAGAACGCCUGGUGGUUAAUACCCAUCAGGAAAGACAUCACUCACAGAAGAAGCACCGGCUAACUCCGUGCCAGCAGCCGCGGUAAUACGGAGGGGUGCGAGCGUUAAUCGGAAUUACUGGGCGUAAAGCGCGCGUAGGUGGCUUGAUAAGCCGGUUGUGAAAGCCCCGGGCUCAACCUGGGAACGGCAUCCGGAACUGUCAAGCUAGAGUGCAGGAGAGGAAGGUAGAAUUCCCGGUGUAGCGGUGAAUGCGUAGAGAUCGGGAGGAAUACCAGUGGCGAAGGCGGCCUUCUGGACUGACACUGACACUGAGGUGCGAAAGCGUGGGUAGCAAACAGGAUUAGAUACCCUAGUAGUC
rnacentral:rRNA from 1 species